rnacentral:lncRNA from 10 species
CCAGCCCUCCCCCAGGACCCGCCUUCCGGAGGGAGCGCGAGGGGCUCGGGGGGCCUGGGCCGGGCGGUGCCGCCCCGACCCGCACCCAACCCCGGGUCCCGCCGCGCGUUCCCCGGGGCGCCCGGAUCAGGGUAGGCCGGCAAGCCGGGGGAGGGGUCCUCUCGCCUCCCUCGCUCCUCCUCUCCCGCCGACUCCUUGCGGGCAGCAGGUGUGUGGGGCGCCGCGCUCUCAGGACAGCCUCGGGGCCGCGGAGGGGACAAAGCCAGACAAAGUCGGGCUCCUGCGCUAGAGCUCAGCGUGCAAGGCAGGGGCGAGCAGAGCGCACGCAGCUCUCCCCCGCCUUCCUGCCUUAAGAAGGUGCGGCCACCUCUGCGGGUCUUCGGGAAGCGACCCUGCGCUCAGGGCCUGGGAGGCCCGCGGGACCCUGCACUUAGCAGGCCUUGAGCAGGCGGCUGCUGAAGCGAAUGGGCGUGGAGCUGGGGAGACCCGCAAGGCCAGGCCGUUUUAGGGAAAGUGGCGCUCCUGAGAGGUGGAGAGAAUGCCCAGAGAGCGUUUGAGGGUUGGAGUCCGCGGGGGGAAUGAGGAACGGGAAGAAGGGAGUUGACAUCUGUCAAGUACCUACUGUGUGCCAGGCACGUCACUCUGAAGACGCCCCGUGGCUUCAGGGUCUAGGGAGGAGGAAUUGGAAGUUUUGAAUCGUUGCAUCCCACUGGCAUUGUUGCAUCAAGCAGAUAUUAACGGUGUGUGUGGGGGACACUAUCUCGUGCAGAAAAACUAUGGCAGACAGCGGAAAAGGUGAAUCAUUACACUGGCAGAGGGAUCCUCGCGGCUAUUCAGUCGGGUUCCCCUGCCAGGCCCAGCCCUUGAAGGGGCUGCCCAGCCUUGCAGCUCCAACUCUUCUGGACUCCUUGCCCUUGGCGAAUAGUUCUUCCUAAGAAUAGGACAGGGGCACUCUUCUGUAGGUACACACCUGGUCCUUACAGGUGGGUACUUGAAACCUGGUAGUUUCAAGGAAAAUGAGAAUAAAGGUUAAAAAAAGCUUUUGUUGAUGUUCCUGGUGUUUUUACACGUUAUUGUAACCCCCCAUCAUACAGCCCCUAUGUUUAUUACAGUAACUGCUCCUGUCUCCCAAAGAGGGUUCUGCGUGCACACCCAGGUAAGUACCUAAGAGAAACUGCCCAGAUAUGUCUGGUCCCAGGACACCAUGGCCAUAGAUCUGGGACCUCUUAUUCACACACUUAUCUUUAUUCUCUGAACUCUCUAUAACAGCACAUUUGACCACAAACCACUGCCUUCGUGCAACUCUUGAAUGGUCUUGUCCUGUUGUGUUGUUUUAUCUUUUAUGAAUUUAUGCUUUGCACACACAGCCCCCACCCCACCUCCA